CUGGAAGGGAUGGGCCGUCUCUGGAGGUACCUGUGGGUGCUGUCCCUGAGUGGGAUGGGCCGUCUCUGGAGGUACCUGUGGGUGCUGUCCCUGAGUGGGAUGGGCCGUCUCUGGAGGUACCUGUGGGUGCUGUCCCUGAGUGGGAUGGGCCGUCUCUGGAGGUACCUGUGGGUGCUGUCCCUGAGUGGGAUGGGCCAUCUCUGGAGGUACCAGUGGGGCGCUGUCCCUAAGUGGGAUGGGCCGUCUCUGGAGGCAGGGAGUCAUCCCCUUUCUGACGGCUUCAGGCAGAGGCUGGUGCCCACUUGUGACAUAGGGGAUGGAAGGCUUCCUUGGGGGGGGAGGUAGAUUGUGUGGCCGUCAGGAGCCUUUCUGACAGAAAUCCGGGCUGUGAAGGGGCUGCUUGGGAAAUCUCCGGGAGAGCUGUCUCCUCAGCUUCCUGGGGUGAUUCUCCGUCUUAGAGGAGCUGCUUUGCUUGGCUUUCUAUUUAAUACCCUCAUGAGAAAUAGCCACCCUUUCUCUAAAAUAGUAAGCCCCCAAAUCCUGGCUAUUUUCCUUCAUGAAUCAAAAUACAGUCGUCUAAACAAGUCAGAUAUAUAUUUUUUAAGUCUUCUCCAUUUUGAUUAUAAAGGUGAAAGAACAGUAACAAAGUCUCAAAUUUGCAGGUCACUUUAUUAAAUGUAAGCAUUUAUUCAGUGCUUACAGUAUGCCAGCUGUGUGCUAGAUGUUGGGGACACAAAGAAAAAGGGAAACCUUUCCCUGCCUUCAAGGAGAUGAUAUUCUUUGCGGGGGGGCAAAAUGAGAAGGCAAAUCCAGAGGAGGGGGAGCCCCUGGCUGCUGCAGGAGUACGGAAGGAUUUGUGGGGAGAGACACUGCUUGUGUGGAGGGCUGGGGGAUAGAGCACUGGGGCUGGGUGCACAGCUGCUGCAAAGGUGGGGGCCUGGAAGCUAUUAGGAUGUGAGGAUUCUUUUUAAAACGCAUCAGGAAAAAGGAUUUCUUAAGUGGCUCACCCUUACAUGCUUUCCCAACCAUGACUUGAUUGCCCUCUUGAUGCAGGGGUUUGGGAAUAUUGGGCAGAAAGUCAUCAGGAGAGGGGCCCUGGCCCAUCAGAGAGCUUUUCUGCAGUUGUGGAUGAGACAUUCUCUAAAACGGACAGGAGACUCUUGGGCCAUAGGGACAGAUGGUUCUGUGGCCUGCCUUGGCGGCUCCCUCUGGCCAUAGGGAGAGAUGGUUUCUGUGGACCAUCUUGGGGGCUCCUUCUGGCCAUAGGGAGAGAUGGUUCUGUGGACCGUCUUGGGGGCUCCUUCUGGCCAUAGGGGGAGAUGGUUCUGUGGACCGUCUUGGAGGCUCCUUCUGGCCAUAGGGAGAGAUGGUUCUGUGGCCUGCCUUGGGGGCUCCUUCUGGACAUAGGGGGAGAUGGUUCUGUGGCCUGCCUUGGGGACUCCUUCUGGACAUAGGGGGAGAUGGUUCUGUGGCCUGCCUUGGGGACUCCUUCCUCGCCCAUCUGCACUCACUGGGAGCCUUGUCUCCUUUACAGGACUUUGCUUUCUGUCAGUCCUGCUGCCGUCUGGUAGAGUGGGGCAUUGAAAAGCUGGGGCUUUGCCUUCUUGGGAAGCCGGGGAUCCCUGGGAACGAUCAUUGCAGUUUUCCUGCAGUCGGGUAUAUUUGGACCUCCACCCCUGUUCGACCCAGUGUGGGGAGGAGGGAAGGGAAGAGAACACGUGUUUAUUAAGCACCUAGUGUGUGCCAGACUCUGUGCUCAGAGCCGUACAGUUAUCUCGUUUGGCUCUCAGGGAAUCGAGGUGGAGACGAACCUGUGGUUUUACCCGCCUGGGGAAUUCUGGGAUGAGGAGCCUCCCUCCACCUUCUCCCAUGAGGAAACUAUCCAGCAGUGAGGGCUGAAAGGGCCCCAAGGCCGUCCUCCCACUCAAGGGCUGCCCUCUCUCCGGUCUGGCACCCCAAGGAGCCUCCAUUGUCCCCUCCUGUAGGUUUGUGGAGUGCUCCCUCUCCUUGCCCAUCAGAUGAGGGGAGGUGGUCUCACUCCCAACUCCAAACCCGGGGUUGUGUGAGUGAGGCUCCUCCAGGGAGGACACAGGGUCUGUCCUGACCUCAGGCAGCAGAUGCUGGGAGAGGGGAGGAGCCAGACUUUUACAGACGGACAGACGGACAAGGCCUGUGAGCGUCUGAAGGUACGACUGGCUCCCGUGGGACACAUACUCGACAGGAUUCACCAGACCAAAAACAGAGAAGCUGCAUUGUGGAAGACAUGGCUGAGAAUGAGCCCCCUCAGCCCCGAGAUGGGCUGCUCCACCACCACAGAACCCGUCUUUUCAUGAACUUCCAGUUCCAUCAUUUUAGUAGGACCCCAAGUUCCUGUUCGAUGGCCUGGCCAACGCCAUGCACUGGAUUGAGGGAGCUGGGAACUGCUCUAGACGUCGUGGACAUCCAAAAGUCACCAAGACCGAAGGAUUGCACUCCUAGAGCUGGUCCCCAGAGCGGCCGAAGAGUAGGCAAAAGGGGCGACAGGUGCCAAAAGGGGCCCAGCGGCUCUUGUUAGGGACCGUGAAACUAAGGGGCUGGGUUCCUAUCAGUCCGGGGACAUGGAGAUGAGGGGCUACCGCUGUGACAGAGAAGGAAGGGGCUUCCAAAGGAGCCUGUGCAGACCUGCUUGUUUGGGUGCAUCCAGGAACCAGAACAGUUUAAAAAUUGUAAUAGCUUUUUACUUUCAAAAUCCAUGCAAGGAGAGUUCUCAAUGUGUCUCCCCUUGCAAAACCUCGCGCUCCAUAGUUUUCUCCCCCCUUCCCUACUCCUGUCUCCAAACAGCAAGGGAUCCAAUCGAGGUCAUACAUGUCCAUUUCUAAACCUAUUCCCACCUUUAUCUUGCACAAGAAAAAUCCGAUCAAAAAGGAAAGAAAAAGAGAAAGAAAACACAGUAAGUAAAAACAAGAAAAUGAGAGUGCCGGGAGCCCCCGCGGCCCCUCUCUGGGUGCCGAUGGCUCUCUCCAGCACAAGAAAAAUCCGAUCGAGAAAACAUAGCAAGUAAACAACAAAGGGGAGAGUGCCGGGAGCCCCCGCAGCCCCUCUCUGGGUGCCGAUGGCUCUCUCCAGCACUAGGCCAUUGGAUCUGGCCCGGAUCGUCUCAUUGUUGAGUCAGCCACGUCCCUCAGAGCGGUCACCGUACAGCCUGGCUGCCGAGGACCACGACCUCCUGCUCCGUUCCCUCCCUCAGCCGGGGUUCCUGUGAGUCUCCCCAGACCUGUCUGGUCCUGCCCCCGAUGGUUUCUUACGCUGUAUCCCGCACCCUCAUGCAUUCGGUCUCUCCAAAGUUGGGCCUUUGGCCGCACAUCUCGGGGCUUCCUCCUUCCAUCACGGCUGCUUGUGGGGCUGCCCCGGCGGAGGGGCGGAGAAACGCCCGCAGACUCUCCACCCCUGUGGGCCCUCGGCUCCGCGCUGGCCUCUCAUCCACCGUCUGGGUCUGCGGCCCGGGGAGCGGAGCCGCUCACUAGGAGUCAGGGAGCCUUGGCGCCCAAAGUGGGGCCCCGGGUCAUUUCUCAGAGGAAGGAUGGGGGGGGUGCCCUUCCCUGAGGGCAGAGUCUGGCGGGGCCCUUGGGGCGCCUCUGGCUUAAUUGCCCCCCGUCCCGCCCCAGAGUCAGUCGGUGGCCUUGCUUUAGCAUCGGUCUGGUUCCGAGCGCUUUCCGUGUUGUGACGUGUUGUUGUUCU